AAUAUUUGACCCGCUUGGACUAAUUGUACCGGUUGUAGUAUCAGCGAAAAAGAUAAUGCGACAACUAUGGGAACUGAAAACGGAUUGGGACGACCAGCUGCCCGCACACAUUAGUCGGGAAUGGGAAACGUAUCGUAAUGAAGUAGCAGAUAUCGAAAAAAUAAAAAUACCACGAAGAAUAAUUGGUUGUGACAACGUGUGCGACAUGCAAAUUCACGCUUUUGCGGACGCGUCUAUGAGUGCAUACGGAUCGUGUAUUUAUUUAAUGGCAACAGACACAGACGGGUCACGUAUAGUUCAACUUAUUGCGUUAAAAUCGCAAGUCGCUCCGUUAAAAAUGAUUUCACUCGUGCGACUGGAACUGUGUGCCGCCGUAUUAUCAGUGUGUCUCGUCAAUAAGUUAAUUCCAAAGUAUAAAUGUUGUACAAGUAAAAUAUGAUAUUGGCCAGAUUCACAAAUCGUUCUGACAUGGAUAAAUUCACCAUCCUCUCGAUGGAAAACGUUUGUUUCUCACCGCGUCGGAGAAAUAUAUUACACUUAUAUGGCUGAGCAAUGGAAGCACGUACGAUCAAGAGAUAAUCCCGAGAAUGCAGUCCAAAAGCACUAACAGAAAAUAAAUCAUGGUAGUGUGCAUAAAUAUACAUCUUGUUUCAAAUCUAAACCAAAGGUAUUUCAACCGAUUAUGGGCAACUUACCGAGCACGCGAGUUACAAGUUUCGAUAAAACAUUUUAUGCAACUGGCGUGGAUUUUUGUGGGCCUAUCUAUUUUAAAAAUAGUUUACGACGGAACUCUACUAAAAUAAAGGAAUAUGUAUGUAUUUUCGUGCGCUUUUCAUGUAAGGCCGUUCAUAUUGAACUAGUUGGUAACUUAACAACAAAUGCGUUUUUAAAUGCACUGAAACGAAUGUGGUGUCGUCGGGGUAUCGAAAAAUUUAUAUAUUCAGAUAACGCCACAAAUUUCUCAGGAAGCAACUAUAAAUUGAAGGAAUUAAAAAAUUUAUUUAUAUCAAAAAAACACCAAGCUGUAAAAAAUUGACUUGCCUCUGUCAAUGCGGAAUGACGAUUCAUUCCAGUCCGUUCACCACACUUUGGCGGUUUAUGGGAGUCGGCAGUGAAAUGAGUAAAGGGACAUUUAACUAGAACAUUAGGUUAAGCAUCACAUACUUUUGAAGAGUUAAACACUGUAUUAGUUCGCAUCAAAGCGUGUUUAAACUUACGACCCUUGAUACCAUUAUCUACGGAUCCUUCAGAUCUUAGUGCACUAACUCCAGCUCACUUUCUCAUCGGUCGAUCAUUAAUUGAUAUCCCAGAUCCAGACGUUAUAAACAUCACACCUGGGUGAUUAAAACGAUGGCAAAGAAUCACACAAUUGGUACAACAAGUUUAGGAACGUUGGCGAACUGAAUACUUGUCAACAUCGCAAUCAAAAUUUAAGUGGCACACUUCAGCCGAUCUCACACCAACUGUUGGUGCACUUGUCUUAAUAAAAGAAACUAAUCUACCAUCAUUGGAAUGGAAACUCGGACGAAUUAAUGAAUUGUUUCCAGGCAAAGAUAAUAUAGCCAGAGUAGCGACUAUUAAGACAAAUCAUGGUGUUGUCAAAAGAGCAUGUCGAUUAUUAUAUCCGCUCCCUAUUGAAGAUCAAGAAGACUGAUUAGGAAUGUUAUUGCCGAUUUUGUGAGAACUUAUCCCCAACCAGUUUCUUCAAAAUAUAUUGUUCACAAGUUUCAAUCAGUGAUAUCAGGUCGAUUCCAAAAAUACGAUUAUGGGCCAUAUGGAAAUAUAAAACAUUACAAUUCUUCAGUUGUACCCGAAUAUAAUAUUACAAAAGUAACUGCACC